rnacentral:tRNA from 1 species
UAGCUCAGUGGUUCCAGCAUGUGCCUCGAAAGCACAAGGUCCCGAGUUCGAUCCUCGG